rnacentral:rRNA from 1 species
AGCAGCCGCGGUAAUUCCAGCUCCAAUAGCGUAUAUUAAAGUUGUUGCAGUUAAAAAGCUCGUAGUUGAAUUUCGAGACCGGUUUACUGGUCGUGCUUUUGUACGUACUGGUAUUAUUGGUUUCUCCUUUCUGACGAAUCAUAAUGCCAUUAAUUUGGUGUUUUGGGGAAUCAGGACUGUUACUUUGAAAAAAUUAGAGUGUUUAAAGCAGGCUCACGCUUGAAUACAUUAGCAUGGAAUAACGAAAUAGGACGUUUGAUUUUAUUUUGUUGGUUUCUAGGAUCGACGUAAUGAUUAAUAGGGAUAGUUGGGGGCAUUAGUAUUCAAUUGUCAGAGGUGAAAUUCUUGGAUUUAUUGAAGACUAACUACUGCGAAAGCAUUUGCCAAGGAUGUUUUCAUUAAUCAAGAACGAAAGUUAGGGGAUCGAAGACGAUCAGAUACCGUCGUAGUCUUAACCAUAAACUAUGCCGACUAGGGAUCGGAUGAUGUU